rnacentral:rRNA from 1 species
GAUGAACGCUAGCGGCAGGCUUAACACAUGCAAGUCGAGGGGUAUAGGUUUUCGGACCUAGAGACCGGCGCACGGGUGCGUAACGCGUAUGCAAUCUACCUUUCACAGAGGGAUAGCCCAGAGAAAUUUGGAUUAAUACCUCAUAGUAUUAUAGUGUGGCAUCACAUUAUAAUUAAAGUUCCAACGGUGAAAGAUGAGUAUGCGUCCCAUUAGCUAGAUGGUAAGGUAACGGCUUACCAUGGCAACGAUGGGUAGGGGUCCUGAGAGGGGGGUCCCACACACUGGUACUGAAACACGGACCAUACUCCUAGUUGAGGCAGCAGUGAGGAAUUUUGGUCAAUGGACGCAAGUCUAAACCAGCCAUGCCGCGUGCAGGAUGACGGUCCUAUGGAUUGUAAACUGCUUUUGUACAGGAAGAAACACUCCUUCGUGAAGGAACUUGACGGUACUGUAAGAAUAAGGAUCGGCUAACUCCGUGCCAGCCGCCGCCGUAAGAC